rnacentral:rRNA from 1 species
AGCGUACACGGUGGAUGCCCUGGCAGUCAGAGGCGAUGAAGGACGUGCUAAUCUGCGAUAAGCGUCGGUAAGGUGAUAUGAACCGUUAUAACCGGCGAUUUCCGAAUGGGGAAACCCAGUGUGUUUCGACACACUAUCAUUACGUGAAUACAUAGCGUAAUGAAGCGAACCGGGGGAACUGAAACAUCUAAGUACCCCGAGGAAAAGAAAUCAACCGAGAUUCCCCCAGUAGCGGCGAGCGAACGGGGAGCAGCCCAGAGUCUGAAUCAGCUUGUGUGUUAGUGGAACGGUCUGGAAAGUCCGACGGUACAGGGUGAUAGUCCCGUACACCAAAAUGCACAGGUUGUGAACUCGAAGAGUAGGGCGGGACACGUGGUAUCCUGUCUGAAUAUGGGGGGACCAUCCUCCAAGGCUAAAUACUCCUGACUGACCGAUAGUGAACCAGUACCGUGAGGGAAAGGCGAAAAGAACCCCGGCGAGGGGAGUGAAAAAGAACCUGAAACCGUGUACGUACAAGCAGUGGGAGCCUCUUUAUGGGGUGACUGCGUACCUUUUGUAUAAUGGGUCAGCGACUUAUAUUCUGUAGCAAGGUUAACCGUAUAGGGGAGCCGAAGGGAAACCGAGUCUUAACUGGGCGUUAAGUUGCAGGGUAUAGACCCGAAACCCGGUGAUCUAGCCAUGGGCAGGUUGAAGGUUGGGUAACACUAACUGGAGGACCGAACCGACUAAUGUUGAAAAAUUAGCGGAUGACUUGUGGCUGGGGGUGAAAGGCCAAUCAAACCGGGAGAUAGCUGGUUCUCCCCGAAAGCUAUUUAGGUAGCGCCUCGUGAAUUCAUCUUCGGGGGUAGAGCACUGUUUCGGCUAGGGGGUCAUCCCGACUUACCAACCCGAUGCAAACUGCGAAUACCGAAGAAUGUUAUCACGGGAGACACACGGCGGGUGCUAACGUCCGUCGUGAAGAGGGAAACAACCCAGACCGCCAGCUAAGGUCCCAAAGUCAUGGUUAAGUGGGAAACGAUGUGGGAAGGCACAGACAGCCAGGAUGUUGGCUUAGAAGCAGCCAUCAUUUAAAGAAAGCGUAAUAGCUCACUGGUCGAGUCGGCCUGCGCGGAAGAUGUAACGGGGCUAAACCAUGCACCGAAGCUGCGGCAGCGACACUAUGUGUUGUUGGGUAGGGGAGCGUUCUGUAAGCCGUUGAAGGUGUGCUGUGAGGCAUGCUGGAGGUAUCAGAAGUGCGAAUGCUGACAUAAGUAACGAUAAUGCGGGUGAAAAACCCGCACGCCGGAAGACCAAGGGUUCCUGUCCAACGUUAAUCGGGGCAGGGUGAGUCGACCCCUAAGGCGAGGCCGAAAGGCGUAGUCGAUGGGAAACAGGUUAAUAUUCCUGUACUUGGUGUUACUGCGAAGGGGGGACGGAGAAGGCUA